rnacentral:rRNA from 1 species
AGCGAACGCUGGCGGCAGGCCUAACACACGCAAGUCGAACGAACUCUUCGGAGUUAGUGGCGGACGGGUGAGUAACACGUGGGAACGUGCCUUUUGGUUCGGAAUAACUCAGGGAAACUUGUGCUAAUACCGAAUGUGCCCUUCGGGGGAAAGAUUUAUCGCCAUUAGAGCGGCCCGCGUCUGAUUAGCUAGUUGGUGAGGUAACGGCUCACCAAGGCGACGAUCAGUAGCUGGUCUGAGAGGAUGACCAGCCACACUGGGACUGAGACACGGCCCAGACUCCUACGGGAGGCAGCAGUGGGGAAUCUUGCGCAAUGAGCGAAAGCCUGACGCAGCCAUGCCGCGUGAAUGAUGAAGGUCUUAGGAUUGUAAAAUUCUUUCACCGGGGACGAUAAUGACGGUACCCGGAGAAGAAGCCCCGGCUAACUUCGUG